AAUAGCUACUUGCAUCAUUGUAAAUAUGAUGCAAGAUCGACUAUGUCGAAUAAAAUUCUAGGUAGAAUUAUGAUAAUGACAUUGUCUGCCUAUGUGUCUUGACCAAAUUACGUGCCAGCAGUCGCGGUAAUACGUAGAAGACUAGUGUUAUUCAUGUUUAAUCGGUUUAAAGGGUACCUAGACGGUAAAUCAAGCCUAAAAGGAAAUAAAUGAAGGGACUAAUUUACUAGAGUUACUUAUGAGGGGGUAUUAAAGUACUGCUGGUGUAGAGAUGAAAUUCUGUCAUACCUCUUUUCAAUAGAAAAAUAAUGGCACAGGUAUAGGCGAAAGCAUCCCCUUAUGUGAUAACUGACGUUGAGGGACGAAGGCUUUGUGUAGCGAACAGGAUUAGAUACCCCAGUAGUCAAAGCAGAAAAUGAUGAAUGUCAUAGAUUAGAUAUAUAAGUUUAUUCUAUAAAUGAAAGUGUAAGCAUUCCACCUCAAGAGUAAUUUGGCAACAUUGGAACUGAAAUCAUUAGACCGUUUCUGAAACCAGUAGUGAAGUAUGUUGUUUAAUUUGAUGAUCCGCAAAAAACCUUACCACAAUUUGAAUAUUUAUAUCUUUUAUUGUUUUUCUUUUUAACUUUAUUCUUAUUYUCUACUUAAAAGAAAACAAUGACAAGAAAAAAGAGGCAAUAAG
rnacentral:rRNA from 1 species